CCAGGAGCACAAGGAUUAUUUGGAUCGGAAGCACAGUAGGAUCCAGGGUUUUGUUCCCUAAGAUAGCAAUAUCCCCAAGAGUAUGGGCCAUCUGGAGCGCUUGCCCAUCCCCCUACAUAUACAUAUCACAACACAGGUUUCAUGUCAUCUCCGGAUCGGACACUUUGUUAAUUUUUGGUAACAAUAUGAUGAAACUUCAUAGCCAGGUAUGAACUAACUAACUAACCUGUAGUUUCAUGGGAAGUUUGGCCUAAGAAAGCAGCAAUCUCUCUUUUACGGGUGGCAGUGUCCCCAGUGGUAGCAAAGGCAGGAAAGGACUUUGUAGCGCUUAUGAAUGCAUCGUAGGUGUAGAAGCCCUUGGCCGGGCAGCCGCCAUCGUUGCGAUGCUUCAGCAACUGAUCAAAUUGAUUCCUUGAGAUGAGACUGCCUACGUCCCCUUCACCUCCACUACCACCACUGCAUUGGCUUUGGCAACCGUUGGUGCAGUAGUCAGGGGAGGUGCCGCACCAGCCAAAUUGGCUGCAGCACUGCCCACCUGGGCA